rnacentral:lncRNA from 1 species
CCUGAGAACAGUGCCAGCAGCUGGCUUCGUGACAUUCUGGAAGCCCCGUGCAAUGCUGUCAGGAGCAUAGGGAUUUUACUUUAUCUCCCUUGCUUAUGCUCCACAUAACUGAAAUAUCUCACUGGAAGCUGCAGCAGUGCUGGCCCCUUGCACAGCCAUAUGUGACCACUGCAGAACAAUCAGUUGGAGAGACAGUUUGGACUACAUGGAGGGUGGAGAUAAGGACAAAGUGAAGAAUACACAGGAACCAGUGCCUCCUCCUGGAACUAUGCAACUCCAAGCUGCUUCCAUCAGCUGCUAGGUCCAGUAGGGAGGGACCUACUGAGAGGUGAUUGGAUUAUGGGGGCGGUUUCCCCCAUGCUGUUCUCAUGAUCGUGAGUGAGUUCUCAUUUGAUCUGAUGGUUUCACGAAAGGCUCUUUCUCCUUUGCUUUCUCUUCUCUCUCCUGCUGCUAUGUGAAGAAGGUGCCUGCUUCCCUUUCCGCUGUGAUUGUAAGUUUCCUGAGGCCUCCUCAGCCAUGUGGAACUCAUUGCCAGAAAACUCAUUUCUCAGUGACACCAUUGUAAUUACUCAUUUGAUUAUCCCGCAAUACACAUAUAAGAGUCUCAGGAAAACAGUACCAUCAGCAUUAUAUGAGCUAAUUAAAAAUGUGGUGUCCUGGACUCACGAAGCCAGAAUUGCUGAGGAGAUAGCCCGAGAAUCUGAAUUUUUAGCAGACAUUUUUUUAGGUACCUUACCCGCAGGAUCAUUUCUGUGAAUAUCCAUGAGGUGAAAAAGUCUGGGAAACACUGUCCUAGACAGGAAACGCCACGAAGUGUCUGGAUCAAAGAACAGACUAUUGCUCACAGAGCACCUUCAUAGCAUUGUUCCUCAUGCCCCCGUUGCCCAAGGGGAUGGCAGGUUGAGGACCAGAUGUACUUGCAUGUUCAGGGGAUGCAGCACAGAAGAGGAACUCCAAAAUUAUUAUUAUUAUUGUUAUUAUUAUUAUUUUUGAGAUGGAGUCUCGCUCUGUCGCCCAGCCUGGAGUGCAGUGGCGUGAUCUCGGCUCACUGCAAGCUCCGCCUCCCGGGUUCACGCCAUUCUCCUGCCUCAGCCUCCCGAGUAGCUGGGACUACAGGCACGCACCGCCACGCCCUGUUAAUUUUUUUUGUAUUUUUUUUUAGUAGAGACAGGGUUUCACCGUGUUAGCCAGGAUGGUCUUGAUCUCCUGACCUCGUGAUCCACCCGCCUCGGCCUCCCAAAGUGCUGGGAUUACAGGCGUGAGCCACCGCGCCCGGCCGAACUCCAAAAUUAUUAAACUCUGAGCGUCUGCAGGUGACUGACACAUCUGCGCUUCCUUUCUUCCAGGGUGUGGGGAAGAGCGAGAAAAAGAUUUCCGCUCUGGAAGGUAAACAAAUACUCUCUGGAGAGAGAAGAGGAAUGUCCCUAGCAGAUGUCUCCAGAGAAGACAAGACUUUAAAUUCCGCCAGGGAAAUAUACAAUGUCUAACUUCUAAGGCACAUUUGCCAUUCAAUCAUGCUUUAACCCACGUUGCCAGAAAUUUUUGCUCACUAGGUUUUGACUGUACAGGAAUGUGAAAAUAUUCAUGAAGAGUUGUUUUCCAAUGCUAAAGAAUUGAUGUGUUUUAACAGUUGAAUUAAUUGUAUUGAUUAUGAUCACACCUACUUUUUAUAUAUCUUCAUUUCUAACGUUUCUGUACAAUCCUGCCUUUCCACCUGAUAUAGUUAGGCCUUGUGUCAUCAACCAAAUCUCAUCUUGAAUUGUAAUCGCCAUAAUCCCCACGUAUUUAGGGAGAGACCUGGAGGGAGGUGUUUGGAUCAUGGGGGCGGUUUCCCGCAUGCUGUUCUCAUGACCAUGAGAGUAAGUUCUCAAGAGAUCUGAUGGUUUUAUAAGCGUCUGUCAUUUCCACUGCUUGCACUUCUGUGUCCUGCCACCUUGUGAAGAAGGACGUGGUUGCUUCCCCUUCCACCAUGAUUGUGUUUCCUGAGGCCUCCCCAGCCUUGCAGAGCUGUGAGUCAAUUAAACCUCUUUCCUUUAUAAAUUACUCAGUCUCUGUAUUCCUCUGCAGCAGUGUGAGAACAGACUAAUACAUCACCACUUUAUUUACUUUACUCUCUCCCCAUACCGAGGUUUUCUACAUUUUCUUUCUAGGUCUCUACAGUUUCUGCAAAGAUCCUUUAUGGAACUCUUAGGGAAGCUGGGAUGUAUAAUAAAUAAAGGGCUCUUUUCUUUGAGUCCCACACCCAUUUUCUGUGUAUAAAAAUCUUCAACUCCACUUUUGUCUGUUCUAUUUAAAUGUGUGCACAUUUCCUUCUAAUGUUGUAUAUGAAAAAGAGACACCUCUUAGCAGUCUUUCAUAGAGCAAAAUUUUUUACUUUGAUAAAAUCUAAUUUAUCAAUAUUUUUAAAUUUUAUGGAUCAAUCAUGCUUUUGAGGUUGAAUUUAAGAAUGCUUUGCCUAGCCCUAGAUCCCAAGUAUCUUUUAAAAAUUAUUUUUCUAAAUGCAUUAUUUAUGUUUUACACUUAAGUCUAUAAUCCAUUUUGAGUCCAUGUGUAAGAUUUAGGUUAAGGUCAAGAUUUAUCUGUUUUUGUUGUUUUCUCUAUAAAUGUCAAUUGCUCCAGCACUAUUUGUUUAAAAGCCAAUCUUUCCUCCGCUGAGUUCUUCCUAUAAGUUUGUCAAAAGUCAAUUUGGCAUCUUUGUAUAAGUUUAUUUCUGGAUUCUCUAUUCUGUUUUAUUGAUCACUGCAUCUAUCCCUCUUGAUUAGCUAGAUAAUAAAUCCUACAAUAAGGUAGAAUUCUUCCCACUUUAUUCAUAUUCAAAAUAUUUUAAAGCUAUUCUAGUUUCUUUUUAUUUCCAUAUAUAUUUUAGGAUAAUCUUAUCUAUAUUUACAACAUAUGUUGCUAGGAUUUUGAUAGAAUUUGUUUUAAAUUUGUGUAUCAAUGUAGGGAAGACCUGACAUCUUUACUAUUACGUUGAUCUUCCAAUCAAUGAAUAUGGUAUAUCUCUCAGUUUAUAGCUAUUGUCUUUAAUUUAUUUCAUCAUGGUUUUUAGUUUUCAGCAGAGAAGCUUUAUACAUGUUUUGUUAUACAUGUAUAACAAAAGAAGCCUUAUACACUGACAUUUUAUAUUUUGAACAAUUGUAAAUGGUAUUGUUUAAAAAUUUUGUUGUCUAUGAUAGAAAUAAAAUUGAUUUUUGUAGGUUUAUCUUGUAACCUAUGACUUGCUGAGCUCGCUCAUUAGUUUUUUUAUUGUGAUAAAAUAUACAUGAGAUAAAUUUCAUCAUUAUAAUCAUUAAGUUUAGACAUCAAUUGCAUUAAGUACAUAAAUGCCUUAUGCAACCAUCAUCUCUAUCCAUCUCCAGACCCUUUGCAUCACCCUAAAAUGAAACUCUGUGCCCAUUAAACAAUAACUCCCCAUUCUGCCCUCACCCCAGCCCUUGGUAAUUACCAUCCUACCUUUUAUCUCUAUAAAUUUAACCAUCCCAGGUAACUCAUAUAAGUGGAAUCAUGCAGUGUUUGUCCUUUUGUAACUGGUUUAUUUCACUUAGCAUGAUGUCUUCAAGGUUUGCCUAUGUCAUAGCAUGUGUCAGAAUUUCAUCCCUUUUUAAACUUAAAUAAUAUUCCACUGUAGGCAUAUGCCACAUUUUGUUUAUUUGUUCAUCUGUUGAUGGGCAUUUGGGUUGUUUCCACCUUUUGGCUACUGUGAAUAAUGCUGCUGUGAUCAUGGGUAUGCAACUGUCUCCUGGAGUCCCUGCUAUCAAUUCUUGUGGGUAUAUACCCAGAAGUGGAAUUGUUGCAACAUAUAGUAAUUCUAUGUUUAAUUUUUUGAGGACCUGCCAUAAUGUUUUCCACAGUAGCUACAUUGUCUUAUAUUCCCAUUAAGAGUUCCAAUUUCCUCACAUCUUCACCAAUACUUAUUGUUUUCUGUUUUUUUAAAUAAUAGCCAUCAUAAUAAAAGUAACAUGGUAUCUCAUUGUGGUUUUAACUGCAUUUCCCUUUUUACUGGAUUGUUUGUAAUAUUGCUGUAAUUGAGUUGUAGGAGUUUUUAAAUAUGUUCUGAAUAAUUAAUUUCUUAUCAGAUAUGUCAUUUGCAAAUAUUUUCUGCCAUUCUCUGGGUUGUCAUUUCACUCUCUUGAUAGUGUCCUUUGAUGCACAGAAGUUUUGAAAUUUGAUAAAGUUUAAUUUGCGU